GACGAACGCUGGCGGCGUGCUUAACACAUGCAAGUCGAACGGAAAGGCCCUGCUUUUGUGGGGUGCUCGAGUGGCGAACGGGUGAGUAACACGUGAGUAACCUGCCCUUGACUUUGGGAUAACUUCAGGAAACUGGGGCUAAUACCGGAUAGGAGCUCCUGCUGCAUGGUGGGGGUUGGAAAGUUUCGGCGGUUGGGGAUGGACUCGCGGCUUAUCAGCUUGUUGGUGGGGUAGUGGCUUACCAAGGCCUUGACGGGUAGCCGGCCUGAGAGGGUGACCGGCCCCAUGGGGCGUGGGGACCGGCCCGAACUCCUCAGGGGGGAAGGGGGGGGAAAUUUGGCAAAAGGGGCGGAGCCGUGGUGGAAGAACGCCGGGUGGGGAAGGCCGGCCUUGGGGUUGGAAACCGCUUUCGCUUGGAACGAGGCGUGAGGGCGGGAAAUGGGGAAAAAACCCCGGGCAAACUCGGG
rnacentral:rRNA from 1 species